AGUGAACGCUGGCGGUAGGCCUAACGCAUGCAAGUCGAACGGCAGCACAGUAAGAGCUUGCUCUUACGGGUGGCGAGUGGCGGACGGGUGAGGAAUACAUCGGAAUCUACUUUUUCGUGGGGGAUAACGUAGGGAAACUUACGCUAAUACCGCAUACGACCUACGGGUGAAAGCAGGGGAUCUUCGGACCUUGCGCGAUUGAAUGAGCCGAUGUCGGAUUAGCUAGUUGGCGGGGUAAAGGCCCACCAAGGCGACGAUCCGUAGCUGGUCUGAGAGGAUGAUCAGCCACACUGGAACUGAGACACGGUCCAGACUCCUACGGGAGGCAGCAGUGGGGAAUAUUGGACAAUGGGCGCAAGCCUGAUCCAGCCAUACCGCGUGGGUGAAGAAGGCCUUCGGAUUGUAAAGCCCUUUUGUUGGGAAAGAAAAGCAGCAGGUUAAUACCCCGCUGUUCUGACGGUACCCAAAGAAUAAGCACCGGCUAACUUCGUG
rnacentral:rRNA from 1 species